CUAGCCUGCUCNCUGACAUAAAGUGUUAAAUAGCCGCGGUAUCUUGACCGUGUAAAGGCAGCAUAAUCAUUGAUUUCUUAAUUGGGAACUUGUAUGAAUGGUUGGACAAAGAAAAACCUGUCUCUUGCACUGGAAUUGAAUUUAACUUCUAAGUGAAAAGGCUUAGAUUAUUCAAAGGGACGAUAAAACCCUAUAAAGCUUUAUAAAUUUAAUACUUUCGUUUAUUUUUCAUUAUAAUAAUGAUGAUAAGAGAAUUUAUUUGGUCGGGGCACCCGAAGCAUAAAUUUAAAUAACCGCUGUAAUUUAAUACAAUGAUUUUUGUCUUAUACAAUAAUUGAUCCUCAAAGAGAUUAAAGACCAAGUUACUUUAGGGAUAACAGCGUAAUUUAUCCUGAGAGUUCUUAUCAAAGGAAAAGUUUGCGACCCAGAUGUUGAAUUAAAAUCUCUACCUAGUGCAGCAGCUAAGAAAGAAGGUCUGUUUGACCUUUGAUUUUUAACAUGAUC
rnacentral:rRNA from 1 species